UGCUGGAUAGCUUAGUUGGUAGAGCAUGAGUCUCUUAAAUGUCAGGCUGUGCAUUCAAGCCCCACGUUGGGGAA